UCACGUCGAGCGCGACAUAUUUGUGAUAUGACCACUGGGUGAAGUCGCUUAAAUUAGUCCAACUUGGUCAUUUUCCGGACUUCCCUAUCCAUCUCUUACGUUUGGAUAUGGGCCAAACAUGGUUGCAACGGGUAACGGAGGGUUAGGGCUCGACCCCGGAGAAGGAGCCUGAGAAACGGCUACUACAUCCAAGGAAGGCAGCAGGCGCGCAAAUUACCCAAUCCCGACUCGGGGAGGUAGUGACAAUAAAUACUGAUACAGGGCUCUAUUGGGUCUUGUAAUUGGAAUGAGUACAAUUUAAAUCCCUUAACGAGGAACAAUUGGAGGGCAAGUCUGGUGCCAGCAGCCGCGGUAAUUCCAGCUCCAAUAGCGUAUAUUAAAGUUGUUGUGGUUAAAAAGCUCGUAGUUGAACCUUGGGCCUGGCUGGCCGGUCCGCCUCACCGCGUGCACUGGUCCGGCCGGGCCUUUCCCUCUGUGGAACCCCAUGCCCUUCACUGGGUGUGGCGGGGAAACAGGACUUUUACUUUGAAAAAAUUAGAGUGCUCCAGGCAGGCCUAUGCUCGAAUACAUUAGCAUGGAAUAAUAAAAUAGGACGUGCGGUUCUAUUUUGUUGGUUUCUAGGACCGCCGUAAUGAUUAAUAGGGACAGUCGGGGGCAUCAGUAUUCAGUUGUCAGAGGUGAAAUUCUUAGAUCUACUGAAGACUAACUACUGCGAAAGCAUUUGCCAAGGAUGUUUUUCAUUAAUCAGGAACGAAAGUAGGGGAUCCAAAACGAUCAGAUUUCCGUCCUAGUCUU
rnacentral:rRNA from 1 species